rnacentral:ncRNA from 2 species
UCGGCAAUAUAUGAGACAGGUGCCUUUAGAGGCUUAAUAGGGAAGACCGGUGAAAAACCGGCGCGGUCCCGCCACUGUAACAGGGAGCGAAUCCAAGGUAUGCCACUGGGACGGAAAGUUCCGGGAAGGUUUGGACGAGCGAUGAUCUGGAGCCAGGAGAACUGCCUGUUUGACAGUCACCGU